GUCGGUGAGGCCUAUAUGU
rnacentral:piRNA from 1 species